rnacentral:rRNA from 1 species
UACAGAGGGUGCGAGCGUUGUCCGGAAUCACUGGGCGUAAAGGGCGCGUAGGUGGCGACCCAAGUCGAUGGUGAAAGCUCGCCGCUCAACGGCGAGUCGGCCACUGAUACUGGGUUGCUGGAGCACUGUAGAGGCAGAUGGAAUUCCGGGUGUAGCGGUGGAAUGCGUAGAGAUCCGGAAGAACACCGGUGGCGAAGGCGGCUCACUGGCCCGAUACUGACGCUGAGGUGCGAAAGCGUGGGGAGCAAACAGG